CUGCAUGGGAGACUGUGUGGGAGAGUAGAACGCCGCCGGAU
rnacentral:rRNA from 1 species